UGAACUCUUCUGAUGUGAUAUAUAUUGUGCAAUGGAAACUUGCAAAUUAUCAUAGAAAAUGGAAUGAAUCAGAGCUCCAUCAGUAGCUCCAAUGAUUACAAGAAUAGAGAGUCCAAGUCCUUUUUCAGUCUUCGAAAGCUGGCAACCUCCUAUAUUUAUGAAUAGACCACUAACUGGUUAUGUACUUCAUCUCUGGAAUGAAAGCAAGACAUUCAUUAGGGAAGUUAAUGAGAAACAACUAUACCAUUUUCUUUACAACACCAGAUACAGCAUACAGAUUUCCAGUAGCUGUAAGAAAUGCAGAAGGAAUUGGGCCAACAACUAUCACAAACAUCACUACACAGCCAAACAGAGAACAAUCCACAAAUGCUAUCUUGUGGUUGUCACAGAAAAAUUAUCUCUACCAAAGUGA
rnacentral:lncRNA from 1 species